CAGUCGCCGCGAGAAUACGUAGGGUGCGAGCGUUAAUCGGAAUUACUGGGCGUAAAGCGUGCGCAGGCGGUUGUGUAAGACAGGUGUGAAAUCCCCGGGCUUAACCUGGGAACUGCGCUUGUGACUGCACAGCUAGAGUAUGGCAGAGGGGGGUGGAAUUCCACGUGUAGCAGUGAAAUGCGUAGAGAUGUGGAGGAACACCGAUGGCGAAGGCAGCCCCCUGGGCCAAUACUGACGCUCAUGCACGAAAGCGUGGGGAGCAAACAGGAUUAGAUACCCCGGUAGUCCCUGUCUCUUAUAA
rnacentral:rRNA from 1 species